UAAUAUUUUAAAUGUUUCAGAUAAAAAUGCAUUAGUUUUAUUGUUGGAGACUUGCUGGGAAAAUAUUUUAGGGAAAUAAACGGAUAAAUUAAACUUUAUUGACGACAACCACAAAUGGUAAGAUAGUUGAGAUAAAAUGGGAAACUGUUUUUCUACGGAUAGCGGGGGCCAUCAUGCCUCUGCCCCAUCUCCUGGUAUUCCCAGACUAACCGAAGCCCCUGUAGUCUCAGGACUAAACUCGGAGAAUAUAGUCCCGAUGGUUCCUCUGGACCUCGGACAUUCCAGACCGCUACCAGACCCAACAGAAUCAACUCCAUCCAGUAUUAAGGUGUUCGUAGCACUGUAUGAUUAUGAUGCACGGACAGAUGAAGAUUUAAGUUUCAAGAAGGGUGAACACUUGGAGAUUAUUAAUGAUACACAAGGAGACUGGUGGUUUGCUAGAUCCAAAGCAACUAAACAUGAAGGAUAUAUUCCAUCAAAUUAUGUGGCAAAACUCAAAUCAAUAGAAGCAGAACUAUGGUAUUUCGGGAAGAUCAAGAGGAUCGAAGCUGAGAAGAAAUUACUCCUGGUGCAGAAUGAGCACGGUGCCUACCUGAUCAGGGACUCGGAGUCAAGACGAAAUGAUUUCUCUCUCUCCGUCCGAGACGGGGACACGGUGAAGCACUACAGGAUCAGGCAGCUGGACGAGGGAGGGUUCUUCAUUGCACGCCGAACUACUUUUAGAACCCUUCAAGAGUUGGUGGAACACUACAGCAGAGAUGCAGAUGGAUUAUGCGUCAACCUUAGGAAACCAUGCGUCAAGAUGGAUAAACCGACGAUAGCUGACCUGAGUCACAACACGAGGGAUCAGUGGGAGAUAGAGAGAACUAGUCUCAAGUUUGUUCGGAAACUCGGACACGGACAGUUCGGAGAGGUCUGGGAGGGACUCUGGAACAAUACUACUCCUGUUGCAAUCAAAACUCUUAAAACAGGAACCAUGGACCCUAAAGAUUUCCUGUGUGAAGCGCAUAUAAUGAAGAAAUUGCGGCAUCCCAAACUAAUCCAGCUGUACGCGGUAUGUACCCUGGAGGAACCUAUUUAUAUCAUUACUGAGCUCAUGAAGUACGGCAGCUUGUUGGAGUACCUACAAGGUAAGGGUAAGCUGCUGAAGCUCCCCCAGCUUGUGGAUAUGGCUGCUCAAGUAGCCGCCGGUAUGGCCUACCUGGAAUCACAGAAUUAUAUCCAUAGGGAUUUGGCGGCCAGAAACGUCUUGGUUGGGGAGAACAAUAUUGUCAAAAUUGCGGAUUUUGGGUUGGCUCGGUUAAUCAAGGAAGACGAAUAUGAGGCUAGGGUUGGUGCCAGGUUCCCCAUCAAGUGGACUGCCCCCGAGGCGGCAAACUACUCCAGGUUCUCCAUCAAGUCAGAUGUCUGGAGUUUCGGUAUUCUUCUCACAGAGCUCGUCACAUACGGCCGAAUCCCAUAUCCAGGAAUGACGAAUGCGGAAGUGUUGCACCAGGUUGAGCACGGAUAUAGGAUGCAGUGCCCCCAGGGUUGCCCCCCGCUCUUCUACGACAUUAUGCUUGAGUGCUGGCACAAGGACCCGAUGAAACGACCAACCUUCGAGACUCUGCAGUGGAAACUCGAGGAUUUCUUCACAAUGUCCGACUCUGAGUACAAGGACGCCUCAGCGUACUAGGACUCUACGCAGUUGUACAAAUUUUGCGUAUCUUAGUAUUUUUGAUUCAUGACUCCCCUGGUUUAGAUUUAACUAUUAACCCUAUGCUCUCAACGCAUUAAUAUUCUUCAAAAAUACAUCAAUUAACAUUGGCCUUAGUAAUGUUCCUUUUUCAGUAUAUGUAGCGCCUACAUAGAUUAAUUUACUUUCUGUAUAUUUGUUGUAAAAUUUAUUUUAAAUAUUGUCAAUAAUAUUGUUCGCCUUUAGGUAAAGUAGAGAAG
rnacentral:misc_RNA from 1 species